UGCCGAACAGUCAUUUGCAAGUGGUUAGUGCGAAAGAAGGCUCGUCACGUGAGACAUCCAUAUAAAUUUGAAUUUGGGUUACCAAUAUUAUCUACGUCUUUUUACUGUUUUUCGAAUUUUAAGUUUAGUUAGACUUAUCUUUGUUUAAGUUUUGGUUUAAGUUGAAUAAGAAACGAUAAGAAACGGACGAACGAACUGAACUGAACAUAACGAAGGAAACGAAACGAAAAAUCAAGAUCGUACGAAACUACGAACUGUCAAGUUAUGUCAAGUGCGCUUUUGGACGUGGCUUAAUUUAUCGUGACCUAGUUGGGUUUCAUAAGGUAUUACCUACUUAAAUUUCAGCCUUGUCUGUCCGAAACCUUUGUUACCAGCAAUACAGUAUUUUCAGAUUGUUUUUGAUUGCGGUGUUGACAAUUAGGACAAGAGCUGAAACAGUAACAAAGUUCGUUUCGACGUUCGAAGUAGGGGUAACGUAAAGUAGUUGUAACCGGUAACUGUAAACUCGAACCUACCAGGUCCUAAAGUAAUUAAAUU